UUAUUAAAUUAACUUUAUACUCCGACGUAAGAAUGCAGUGUUUAAUGACCUCCGGGGGGAAUGCCGCGAACGGCAGGGUCGCCCCCGAAGCAACAUGAUGCGUUCACAAAGGGUUGGAGGUCGGGAUUGCUCCCUCACUCAGUAAUGAUCCCUCCGCAGGUUCACCUACGGAAA
rnacentral:misc_RNA from 1 species